UACGAAGGGGGCUAGCGUUGCUCGGAAUCACUGGGCGUAAAGGGUGCGUAGGCGGGUCUUUUAAGUCAGGGGGUGAAAUCCUGGAGCUCAACUCCAGAACUGCCUUUGAUACUGAAGAUCUUGAGUCCGGGAGAGGUGAGUGGAACUGCGAGUGUAGAGGUGAAAUUCGUAGAUAUUCGCAAGAACACCAGUGGCGAAAGGCGGCUCACUGGCCCGGUACUGACGCUGAGGCACGAAAGCG
rnacentral:rRNA from 1 species